CCUACGGGUGGCAGCAGUGAGGAAUAUUGGUCAAUGGGCUUACGCCUGAACCAGCCAAGUCGCGUGAGGGAAGACUGCCCUAUGGGUUGUAAACCUCUUUUGUCAGGGAGCAACGCCGGCUACGUGUAGCCGGACUGAGAGUACCUGAAGAAAAAGCAUCGGCUAACUCUGUGCCAGCAGCCGCGGUAAUACAGAGGUCUCAAGCGUUGUUCGGAAUCACUGGGCGUAAGGCGUGCGUAGGCUGUGAGGUAAGUCAGCGGUGAAAUGCCCCCGCUCAACGGGGUGAAGUGCCAUUGAUAGUGCCUUGCUGGAAUGCGGAUGCCGUGGGAGGAAUGUGUGGUGUAGCGGUGAAAUGCAUAGAUAUCACACAGAACACCGAUUGCGAAGGCAUCUCACGAAUCCGCGAUUGACGCUGAUGCACGAAAGCGUGGGUAUCAAACAGGAUUAGAUACCCGUGUAGUC
rnacentral:rRNA from 1 species